UGGAGGCUUACUUCGAUAAUAUAGGCCUUUUUAAAAAGAAAAUCGAGCUGUGCGCCCUUUAUUAGGAAAUCAACAAUGAGUUCCAAGACCAGGUCCAAAAAUGGCCUGGCCCAAAUACAACAAAUAUCUGAUAAACACAAACACAAUAAUCAACUUAGAAAGUGAAAGGGCAAAGCUUCCAUUCACCUGUUAAUAUCUUGAGGUUGUUCCAAUGAGUGCUUCCAAAUCCCAUCUUCCAUGGAAACCGAUCUCUUCUUUUUCCAUUUCUAUUAAUCUCUACCAGUUCAAGUUUUUCAACCUUUGAGUUCCAUGAAUUUUUCACUUUCCUUGCCUCCAUCCGCUCCGAUUCCAAUCUACAGCUAAGUACUCUUGAUGUUUUUCACUUAUUUUCCUUAGAUCGAUGGGUUGAACCUCUUUUGGGGUUGAUACCACCAUCUAAUCUUUAAAACCUAAGCUUAAGCACACCAAUUUCAUGCUACUAAUCCAUUAUACAAUGAUGCGGGUUACUCCUUCUCAAUCGUUUUUAAAGGAUUCACCUCUUGGAAUCAACCAUUGUUCGGAUACUUACAUCUUUAUUACCUCAAGCUCUCACUAGGCAAUGAUACUCAUAUCCAAUGAAAUUUAUUCAGACAAAUGUAAUUCAUAUUCCAGAACAUUAUGAGUAAGAAUGUUAUGAAGCAUAUUAUUUGGAGAUUCAACUUGUCCAGUCCAGAGAUAUGUUUCAUCUGAAGAUACAAUUAUGGGUACAUACACUAUUGCCAAAUUAUUAUCCCUUGAAUCAUCAUUAUUUUCACAUGCUUGAGUGUCCCCUAUUCCAGCACUUGUAUUUUUGAGAUCUUUUAUUUGUUGCUGACCUGGUGUCUUCUCUUUUUGUAUUUUUCCCCUUCCCCUGCACUUAUAUAUCUAUCUUUUGUUACCUGUGGAUCUAUUAUAAACUCCUUUUGUAGAUCACUUGCAGGAACUUUAUGAUGAUUUUUAUUUCUUUCCGAUGC